rnacentral:rRNA from 1 species
UGGGGAAUAUUGCACAAUGGGCGCAAGCCUGAUGCAGCCAUGCCGCGGGUAUGAAGAAGGCCUUCGGGUUGUAAAGUACUUUCAGGGGGGAGGAAGGUGGUAAGGUUAAUAACCUUGGCAAUUGACGUUACCGACAGAAGAAGCACCGGCUAACGCCGUGCCAGCAGCCGCGGUAAUACGGAGGGUGCAAGCGUGAAUCGGAAUUACGGGGCGUAAAGCGCACGCAGGCGGUUGAUUGAGUCAGAUGUGAAAUCCCCGGGCUUAAACAGGGAAUUGAAUGUGAUAGUGGUCAGGUAGAGUCUUGUAGAGGGGGGUAGAAUUCCAUGUGUAGCGGUGAACUGCGUAGAGAUGUGGAGGAAUACCGGUGGCGAAGGCGGCCCCCUGGACAAAGACUGACGCUCAGGUGCGAAAGCGUGGGGAGCACACAGG